UGAAAGAGAGAGGUGAAUAAACGUCAGCAAGCUCCAUGAUCAUGAUGAAAUGAAACGUCAGUCUUGUACAGUAUUUUGCACGAGUAGGUUGCAUCAUUUGCAUCCUUCCUCGAAAUAGAGUUUCGGCCGACAGAAUCAGUUGACCCGGAUUGCCACGGUGUCCGUCUGGACACGAUACUUACCUUGAACAGUUGAAGUUGAUUUGAAAUGGAAAAGAACGAUUUUGCGACUGAACAGAUACUAUACCCGUAAAAUCCAUAUUUAAUUCUGUAAUCGCCCAUUUAUACUUUAAAUAAACUUUAUGUGCACCGUCGUGCGGGGUUACUUUUGAAAUGCGGGGCUACCUCGGACACUUUUGAAUUUGGAUUUUUUGAAUUCAAAAUAUGGGUCAAAUCUGUUUGAUUUCUUUGGGACUACAUAUUAUGUAGCAAUAUUUUCCCCUUCAUUUGGUAGAAAUUGUUCUUCAAACAAACCCUUUAUUGCUUGUCAGGACGCGAAAAAACAUCGAAUAAACUAAAAAAAUAAAUCUAUCACAACAUUUGCUCUGUAUGCAUUGUUGCUACAGUUCAUAAAUUUCGAAGGGUUAAUUUAUUCAUUCAAAAUCUAUCAACGUAGCAUAUACAAUCAAAUAUUUGAAUCGUUAUGCAUUAUAAAUGACCUUUUCACCUAAAUAAAAGAUUGAUGGUCCCUUUUUUAAGACUGUCUUUUUUACAAUAUCACGCUGCUCAUAAUACCAAAGAUAGCACAGAACCAUCCAAAAAUGCAUACAUUUAUUGAAAUCAUGUAAGAUAUAGUAUGCAACAGUAUUAGUACAAUGUAGUUUUCUAAAAAAAUGCAGUUUUAAAAUUUUAAAUGCAGUUUUGCUAUAGUUCAAAAUGCCCAAAGUAGCCCCAAUCCACUUCUAUAUGAGAUGUGUCCGAUUGGUGUAUGAACAACUUUUUUGUUUAUUGAUGGAUUUAGCUCAAAUUUUGUAUACAUCCUACAUACAUACAUACUAACGAUUAUUGUGUGUAAAAAUUGUGGAAAUUCAUCCACUAAUCUGGGAGUUAUAAUGUCAUAAAGUUGAAAAAUCAUGAAAAAGUGUAUACGACGGUACGUAUAAAGUAUAGCUAGCUUUUUAGGCUCCAUUGUUACUCGGGUACGUAUAUAUGUACAUGAUUCAAUAGCAUAAAAGAGUGAAGAAUUAGCAUAAAUGAAAACAAACAAUAAAGAGCAUAAAACUUUAUAAUAAAGUCACCUUCUUUUGGUCUCCGGAGUUCUUCCUUUUACCUAAUAUUACCCAUAGAGCCUGGUUUACGAACCUGAAAUCCCAUAAACAUCUACAACAUUGAAUUUUGGGCCACCAUAUUUCAUAUUUUAGUCGUCAUUUUUGGACUCUGUACGUCUUCCCCAUGCCAAAACUACCCAUAUUGCAUGGUUUUAGAGCCAAAACCUGCAAAAUUGCCGCUACAGUUGACUCUCCACAUCUCGAUAUUGAAGAGACCAUCGAAAUAAGGAGAGAUUGAGCUCAAGAACCAAUUAGUAAUGCACACUAGAUUGAAAAAUCGUCCGUAUAUAGGAAAAAAAAACCGACAACAAACAGAUGCCACUUCGCCUUCCCAGAAUGUUUUGCACCUAAGAAACGGGAUCUAGCAACCUGAGAUCAAAUAGAGAUAGAGAGAUAUCGAGAUAAGGAGAUAUCGACAUGUGGAACGGUAAAAUAUGUGCAGAUUAAAGGGACCGAGUAAACCAUCGAGAUUGGGAGAGAUAUCGAGAUGAAGAACAUCGACAUAUGGAGAGUCGACUGUAUCUAGAGUUUUAGGCCACCAUUUUGGAAUCAAGGUCGUCAUCUAGGAUUUUCCAGUCUUUCACAUACUGUAAUCCGGGGUCAAAUUGAUCACUUAAAAACAACUUUUACGGAUAACAUCAGUGCCUGUUCAAAUAUUGCCAAAAUAAUUUCUGUAAAACCAGUACCCAGUGGAUCUCCAUGGAACCAUGUGACAGAAUUUUGUUCAACAAAUUUAAAGUUUAAGUUAAAUAACUUCAAAUAUCAAAAUAUUGGAAAUGCAACUUUGGGGCGAAAUUGAUCAGUAUACAAUUAAGCAUCGGCUGGAAAGGAAAAUUUCCUUCACCGCUUAAUUUGCUCUUCUAAAACCGAAUAACGCGUCUAAAAUCUUACAACUAGUGAAUUUAAUACUUUAAAUGCAAAAUUAAAUUUCGAAAUUUCCCCUUAAACGCCUAAAGGUAGGCAAUUUAAUUGGAAAUAAGUGAUUUCUAUUACAAUAAAUGACUAUUUCUUCAUAAAAUGAACUUUUUAUAACAAUUUCAUGUUCUGAUUAGCUGCAUAACAUCCCAACCAAGGCUCCACAAAAAUGUUAAAACAGAGAAUUCACGGGAAGUCCUACUAGCAAUUGAUUGUUUAGUAGCAAGGAUUUCAGCUAAAUGAGAAAUACAUUGCAAAUUCCUUGAAAAAAUAAGGCAAAACUAACUUUUUCUAAAAAAUUAAAAGUCUACACUCAUCUCUAGACAUCUAGGGUAAAAAAUAUAAUUUGGACAUGUAUAUAAUUUGGACAUGCACGGCGAUGUAUGCCUUGUUCCGGAGAGCUAAUAAAAGUAGAUACUUCUCAAUAUCGAUUAUUGGAUCAAAUAGACCCUAUUCUGAUGACUUACGUUGAAAAUACGCUUAACAAUUAAGAAUUUACUUCAAAAUUAUCGAAAAUGUAAAUUAUUUCACUAAAACCCCUCAAAUGCACAGGUAUGCAAGACGACAUACACUUCACAGUCACAUACAAUAUUCACCUCAAAAUCGUUGAAAUUUUAAUUGUAAGAAAUUUAAAAGCCUUAUUGCAUUGAAACAUGUUCAAUAAAGAAGCAUUAGGCAGCCAAUCUCUUAACAUUCAUCUAGAACGCUUAAUAUAGGUGGUGUCCAAAAUACAUUACAAGUUUUCUACUGUAAAUAUAUUUUGGUCAUCUGACGAACUACAUGGGGAUGCUGUACGAUUGCAUACUUGGAGGCGUAUUCUGUGGGUCUGGCGAUAUUUCCUCGAUUUUAACAAAAACUGUAAUAGUUAUCAAAAUAGAUGCCUGUUAAGCGGAGAAAUUUGAUUAUUUGUAAGAAAAUAUUUGUUAAUUUAUGCUACUUCCAUGAUUUAGCAGUAUUCAUGGCUAAACAUUGAGAUAAUUGCCCUGUCUACAGGGUGUUAGGUUCCUGAGUGCAAACUUUUUAAAGGGUGAUAGAGGACCAUAAAUGGUGAAAAAAAUUGUUCUACGCAUAUGGUCAAAUCUCAACCGUUGCGUAGUUAUUGAACUUUCCAUGGUUUUGACUCUCAUUGCCUUAACUGGCUAUAACUUGAAAAUGGUCAAACUUAUCGAAGUUUUUUGACCCUUAUUCGAAAGAUUAUUGAAUUUUAUAUCAAAUGGGAUCUUUGAAUCGAUUGGUUUAGUUAAAUCAAUAAAUUUUCUAGAGCAAAAUAGCUAAAAAUAGUGUAUUUUUAUUGGUUGUUGUCAAUUAUCUUUGAAAAAUGCAUAGUAAUUUAAAAUUCUUUCUUAGGCAAAGUUGUGGCCCCUGUUCUACUCUACAAUUCGUUCUUUGACAUCAAACUUCUAUCUCUCAUCGUUUUGUUGAAAUUUCGAAUUAAACAUCGCAUUUCAGAUCAUAAAUUUGCAACUGUCAUGGAAAGCACUUUUUUGCGCAUUGUGUCGCACAUUUAAAUCAAAAUAGCAAGAAAAAGAUAAGAGCUAGAAGUUUAGUGUCAAAGAACGAAUUGUAGAGUGGAACAGGGGCCAGAGCUUUGCCGAAGAAAGAAUUUUAAUUUAUUACACAUGUUUCAAAGAUAAUUGACAAAAACCAAUAAAAAUACACUAUUUUUAGCUAUUUUGCUCUAGAAAACUUAGUUAUUUUACUAAACCAAUCGAUUCAAAGAUGCCAUUUGAUAGAAAAUUCAAUAAUCUUUUAAAUAAGGGUAAAACAACUUCGAAAAGUUUGACCAUUUUCAAGUUAUUGCCAGUUAAGGUAAUAAGAGUCAAAAACAUGGGAAGUUCAAUAACUACGUAACGGUUGAGAUUUGACCAUAUGCGUAGAACAAUUUUUUUCACCAUUUAUGGUCCUCUAUCACCCUUUAAAAAGUUUGCACUCAGGAACCUAACACCCUGUAUAUACCUGAGGGUGUCCAAAAUGCAAUUCUAACAGGCGAUCGGAAAUUGCGAUUUUCUCAGCUUAAAAUGCUUUCGUUAAGGUUUUUGUCACCAGGAACGAAAAGCACAAUCAUAUUAUAAGCGUAUUGGUAACUUUGCAAAAUAAUUAAUUGCUUUCUAAGAAAUCUAGGGGACGAUUUUUUCAACGUUGUCCUCAGCCUGUCCAAAAUACAUGAAUUACCCUACGAAUCAGAUGACGUAAAAAGUUAAAGAUCAUUACGACGCGUAAGAGUUCCUAGUAUGGAAUUAUAAUUUAGUACCCAAGUGAUCAAUUUCACCCCGCUGAUCAAUUUGACCCCGGUUUACGGUACCAAAUAUACACAUAUUUAAAGUUUGAAACUUCAUACAACAACCGCCAUUUUCAAUUUUUAGUCUACUACUGAAUAUUCUGAUCGUCGUUUUUGAACCUGAGAUUUGAAAAUCUUCCUCAUCCAAAAUAUACAAAUAUUGCAUGGUUUUAGAGCCUAAAAUUCCUUAAAACAUCAGCCAUCUUGAAUUUUUGGCCGCUAGUUUGGAUAAAAGGCUAUUUUUGAUGUUGAAAAUUGCGUUAACAUUUUUUAAACCUCGGACAUCUUCCCCAUACCAAAUACACCCAUAUUGCAUGGUUCCAUAGGCUAGCAAUCUAGCUACAGACAAGCAUACGUAACACUUGGAACAUUUUUCGAUUCGAAUCAUAGUCACGAAAGCUUUUUCGCCCAAUGCUAAAGGGACUGAGUUUGGCCAACCAUCAACUAGGUGGCGGCAGUGGGCAAACGUCAAACUCGUUCAAAAACGAUGCGAGCGCCACGGAUGGCCAGUUGGUCAGCUAUUAAAUUUUUGAAUAGACCAUUAAAUCGGUGUACACGAUGGGAAUAAUCAGAGUGUUACGUCUGUUUGUCUGGUCUCAGACUGCGGGCUUCUUCCAUAUAUCUAUUUUCUUCUUCUUCUUCUUGGCGUAACGUCCUCACUGGGACAAAGCCUGCUUCUCAGCUUAGUGUUCUAUGAGCACUUCCACAGUUAUUAACUGAGAGCUUCCUCUGCCAAUGACCAUUUUGCAUGUGUAUAUCGUGUGGCAGGCACGAAGAUACUCUAUGCCCAAGGAAGUCAAGGAAAUUUCCUUUACGAAAAGAUCCUGGACCGACCGGGAAUCGAACCCGUCACCCUCAGCAUGGUCAUGCUGAAUACCCGUGCGUUUACCGCCUCGGCUAUAUGGGCCCUUAUAUAUCAUAUAUCUAUAAGUCAUUGUUUUAUAGGUUAAAACUAUGAGCCUCAUAUAUUCUGGUAAACAUUUUUGGACUCCGGACCCAAAUACCUAAGAGCCUAUUUUUUUAUUCGUCAAUGUGAGCCCAAAACAGCCGCAGUCUCGAAUUGUGGGCCGCCAUCUUGGUUUUAGGUAGCCAUCUUCAAUUUUGUGUGGACAUCGUGUAUUUCGUGGUCUCCAUUGAUAAACCGACGCAAUUUGAUUGGUCGCCUGAUGAGAUUUGGUUCAGUUUAAUAAAUAACCAUUCGCCCCGGUGUUUGUCCGGAUCAUUAAAAUAGCCAUUACUACGGAACACAAACGGAACACCUCGACCGAUCCGGAAAAUUCUCAUUAGCAAACAAUGUGAUUAAAUAACGGUUCUAUUCGUGCUAAAAUCCGAAAAAUCGGCGAAUGGGAAGAACCUUGAAAGUGUGUUUUGUACACAGACAUAUGUAUAUACACAAAUACACACAUCGUCUCAAUUUGUCGAACUGAGUUGAUUAGUAUAUGUGACUCGACUCUCCGAACCUUCUAUCGAAUAAUCGUAUUUUGAGUGAUCAUAGCCUUCCAGAACGCUAUGAUGUAAGAGAAAGGUAAAAUCUGAUCGGAACAUGAAUGUCUUACACUACUACUGUAUAAAUACAACAAAUAUCUCUAUGGGAGCGGACCUGGUGUGGUGGUUAGAGCACAUGACUAUCACGCCGAGGACCUAGAAUCGAAUCCCACUCCCGACAAACUCGCAAAAUGUGAGUUCUUCCUUCGGAAGGGAAGUAAAGCGUGGAUCCCGCGAUGAACUAGCCUAGGGCUAAAAAUCUCGUUAAUACAGAUAAAAAAAAAACAAAUAUCCCUUGAAAGAAUCGCCGUAGUAACACACCGUAAUAGAUCUAACUAGUUUGCUACGAUCUCAAUUUCUGUCUACACAGUUGCUGGCGAAUAUCGACUUAUACAGAUUUGCUUGUACCAGGUCUCGGCUCUCCUACUUGAGUUUAUGAACUGUUUAUGAAUGAGCUUGACUCGUUGAGGUAACCCGGGGGCUGCUGACUGGUGGCGACCGAUCGCGCGGGUGGGUAAAACGAGCAACGACAAAACACCAGCGAGCGAGUAUACGAGCGAACAUGCAACAAAGCAGCACGCGGCGCGGGGCAGAGCAAAAAAAAAAUCGCACCAACUAAAUGAAUGAGUUGUGAAGAGCAGUGGCGGCGAAUGAAUGAGCGGAUAUCGUCCUUCGUGUCGUGCUCGCUCACACCCGAACCCACCAGUCUCCCCAUACAUAUUUUACAUCGCCCUGCGUUCGUCACCGGGUGGGUGACGAAGGCGGCAAUAUGGCAACGCAACGCAACGCUUUGCUGGGUGGUUUGGAGUUGGUUGCGUUUAUAGUUUGAAUUUGCAUUCACUCUUUCCUCCUCCACACAUCGUCGUCGCCUGCUUUGCUAGAGUGCUAGAGCUAACUCAAUGUGUGGAGCUGAACGGCGGUGGUGAUGAGGUAUUUCUACUCGUUUGAUGCACCUACACACCACUUUAGUGGGUUGCUGCAGUGCAGUGUGUCGCGACCGGGCAGCCUACUGCGAUUGGAAUUUUGCAGCACCACCGACCGACGCCACCGCUGCGCUGCUGGAAUCACGUUCACGUAGUAAGCAAUGCUUACUCGUGGCGACGAAACUUAUGUGGUGUUGUUGCAAGUUGGUACGGUAUUUGAUAUAUUUGUAAUUUCACAUCGAAUUCGCCCAGGAGAAUAACACUUGCAUCAUGGGGCGUACGCGUUACACUCACUAAAUUGUAGGCACAGGUUUACGACUAGGUAACUAAGCAGCAAAUCAUAAACGCCUGGUCCAUCAUAUCCAGCAUUUCAUGAGCCACUAUACGAGUGUGUAGUGUGUGUCCACCACAGAUGAUUGACUCCUUCUGUUCUCUGAAGUAGAAAGUGUAGAAAAAAGAAUGAAGGGGAAGAAAAUGACCCCCUCUCCACCGUAUUUGUACAAAGGGGGGCACCGAUCGUGAAAAAGAUUGAAAAAUGGAAGCGCGACUAAUCAUUAUUGUCGCCGUCAUCGUCCCCAAGAAAAGUCAAUUGAACUCCAUCGUAGUAGACGUUGGUGGUAGCUUCGUCGUCGUAGUCAUCAAGUUAGCGGCGGCGUAGUACGGUGCAUUAUAGGUUGCUCCGCCUUUGAACCCAGUUGAUUUGAAUUUAAGCUUGAGCAUUCGAAGCUCGGUAGUACAUACAAAUACAUAGUGUAAGAGCCGGCCGGAUGAGAUGAAUGAAUCGUUUAAUCAGAAUAACUGGACGCAGGCCAUGCGACAGGGUUUGGAAAGAGGGUUACCCUUUUCGUCGCGACAGAUUCUGUAGAGCUUGAGAUGAAUGUCUUUAUUAGACUGGGUCAACAUGGUCAUUUUUCCGGAACAAAAUUUUUUCGAUGCCUUUUAUCGUUUCAAACAACUGUGCAAAAUUUGGGCGCGAUCGGUUGCGUCCCCACAUUCCGCAUUGCGUUUGAAAUUUGUAUGGAGUGUUAUAUGGGAAAACAUACUUUUUUGCAUUUUCCUAGUGAUAUGCUUAAAUUUGUUUUAAACUAUGUAACCAAUGAUGUUAAAGUAUAGCCUAGGGGAUGCUGAUCAACUUUGCCGAAGAGAGUAAGGUGCUAGAGCGACGCUGUAAAAAGUUAUUAAUGCCCAAAGUUAGAUAUCGCCGCGCACCUACUAAAAACCAUUUUUGCUGCCAACACUGCUGGUGCUUCAAAUGAUCACCUCAUCCUUGCAUUCCAUUCUGUCAUUUCAUGAAAACCAAACCCCAUUUCAUCAACAAACAACACUUAGGAAGUUCAAAAAUUAAUGUUUUCCAGUUGAUUUUCUACGUUAACCUUUAUUUUUUAUAAUAUUCUUAUUAUUUUAGGUCAGCUUUUGAGGAAUAGUUCCGGAAAUGUUUUAGAGGAGUACGAGGAGCAACCAAUAUUCAUCUUUCUGACUCGGUGGCCACUUUUUAAACCAUUCCCUUUAACCUGGCUUACGACAUAUCUGAGAUCAGAAGUGUGCAAGAGAUUCUGGAACUUUUGAUCACACGGAUAACUUCCGAUGUUGUCCCAGGAUUCCUCAAGGAAGACAGUAGUUUUCCAGUAUUUCUGUAGCCUGGCUUGUGAUCACAUUUUUUUUUACUUCGCAAACCAAGAACAAUAAAAAAAGCUUUGAUACUUUCGAGUAUUCUAAAACCUGGUUUCCCUUGUCCUCGAAAUCGGUAAUUUGUGAGAGUUUUCAUAUGCGAAAUUUGGCUACCAACGCAGAUACAUAUAAUACUUCAUUCAUGAUAGAAUAAAUUAUGCAAGCAUUUUAUUUGCAGAAAUUUGGUUAAUAAUUAUGUUUAUUUCUAAUUGUGAGUAUUUGUAUAAGGUCUCCCCGAACACAGAGCUAGUCCUGCCGCUGCAGCAGUAAUCCAUAAUUAUUAUUCCUAUGAUAUGGUUUCAACAGUUUUGAACAAUAAAACUUGUAAAAAAAUGGUUCACAGAAAAACACACAAAUGGAAAUUAAAUGGACACUGACUAAUAAUGUAACAAUAAACAAAUAAAAAUUCAAUUAUUUUCCUCAGUUAAUACAGGGAAGAAUAGAGUUUGCGAAUAUUAUUGAAGAAUGUCGGAAUAUCGAAUUCUCCAGCAAUAUAAUUAAGCGAAAAUUAGAUCCGCCAUGUACCUUGGUGGUGUUGGUCAUUCGAUAGGCCAAACAUGUUUUCCAGUUGUACCCUUUUUCGGGGUUCAUUAAAUAAUCAAAACUGCACAAAUGCAGAAUAAAGAAUUCUCACAUUAUUCCCUUUUUGUAACACUAUGAAGUUUCAUUCGCCAGAUUCAGGUAGUGGAUGGGAGGUUUGUCCGUUACUCCCCUAAAACAAAUUCGGAACCGCGAUCAUUCCUUAAAGGACAGAGUUUUCCUAAAAUUAUAAGAAUGUUUAAAGCGAUUAGAAAACAAAUAAGGGAUAAAAUUGCAUAGAAAAACGACUGAUACCAUGAGUUGUUGUUUUUAAACAACUCUGUCGAACAAAUCAAGUUCAGAAAUGUCAGAAUGAAAUGCAAGGAUAAAGUGAUCAUUUGAAGCACCAGCAGUGUUGGCAGCAAAAAUGGUUUUUAGUAGUUGCGCGGAGGUAUCUAACUUUGGACAUUAAUAACUUUUUUCAGAGUCGCUCUAGCACCUUACUCUUUUCCGCAAAGUUGAUCAGCAUCCCCUAGGCUAUACUUUGACAUUAUCGGUUAAAUAGUUCCAGCCAAAUUUAAGCAUAUCAUAAGGAAAAUGCUAAAAAGUAUGUUUUCCCAUAUAAAAUUCCAUACAAAUUUCAAACGCAAUGCGGAAUGUGGGGACGCAACCGAUCGCGCCCAAAUUUUGCACAGUUGCUUGGGACGAUAAAAAGUAUCAAAAAAACUUUGUUCCGGGUUGAUUUGAUCAAAUUCCAAUUUUCCCAUACAACGUUGACCCACUCUAGUCUUUAUACUUAUGACACACAUGUGAUACAAGAAUCACUGUACAAUUGCGCUUGAAAUGAGUGCCAUACUGAAAAUUCUCUCAGUUCAAGCAGUCUUGUUAGAAUUUUCUUGACACUGCGUACCGUUGUACAGGAAUCACACUCGUAUCACAUGUCUGUCUGGGUAAGGUGGCCCACAUUUAUAUGAAAAACAAAAAUUUCGAAAAAUUCCAACUCUUCCCUCCUAAAUCAGUUGUUUUGGACUCUCAGUAGCUACGUUCAAAAUUUGAGCAAAAUCGGUUGAGUCUAAGGGGGCGCUCAAAACGCUUGAAGUUUAUAUGGUAAAACUUGGCCAAAUGUAUGCAGAAAUUUUAAGUUUCCGAAUUUUGCCGCUAGGUGGCGCUGUAAGCGUUCAAUGGGAGUCCAAAGCAACUGAUUUAGGAGGUAAAACUUGACAUUUUUCGAUUUUUUUGUUUUUCAUAUAAGUAUGGGCCACCCUACUGUCCGGGGUAUUAGGUACAGACUGUUUGGAAGAGAACAACCCAAGUAACAUUUUUUAGUCAAAUAGGCUAGUAGAGGUUCUUAGAACCACCAUGAAACUAAAAUAAAAGAAAUUAAGUUUUAUGACAGUUCUUAAAAUCUCUACAAGACUAAUAUGUGUCAUCAAAAUGUUACUUCCGGACAAAUGAUCACUGUUUAUCGGUAUCCCAUACCUACAUAUUGUUCAAAUUUCGAGCUUAGCUCUUUCAGGUUGAAUAUUGUAAUGUAGUGUUAUGAAACAUGAUAUUAUUUUAUUAUUUGGAUAGACACAUUGAGAGAAAUAGAAAAUCGCAUUAUAAAUCAUGUCAUAUGAAUAAAUUUCAGUAAAUACUUUUAACUAAAUCUAUGUGAAUCUUCAGAGACCUGAGUAAAGCUAUUCACUCAGUUUUAUUCAUAUGGCCUAAUGCUUCUAAGAGCAGCUUAUGUUUUUUUUUGCAGCCAGGAAACGCUCUGGGCGACAUACGAGAAAUUCACGAUUCCUUAAGAAGUUCUAUCUGGUAUUCCUCAAGGUUUUGUUUCAGUGGUUCUGAAAGUGGCUCCAUCUGGUUGUUCCUUUAGGGACUCCUAGAGUUUCUUCCAAGAUUUGUCGAUAAUUUUUUUUUAGAGAUUCCUCCAGGAAUUCCUUCUAAAAAUCAUCCAGGGAUUCCUUUAGUAGUUUUUCCAAAGUUUUCUUCCUUUGGAAUAUCUUUACAAGUUUCUUUCUAAGAUUAUGGGAAUAAAUCUCCUUAUAGAACUUUUUGAGGACUAUAACUACAGAAUUAUUGGAGGAAAUCCAGAAGGAUUUUUUAUAGAACUGCCGGAGAAAUUCCUUAAGAAAUUGUUGGAGGAAUUUCUGAAGAAAGCCCUGUAGGAAUUAGAUAAGAAUUUUAUGGAAAAACUUCUGAAAGAUUUCCAUAGGCAACUUCUAAAGGAAUUUCAGAACGAUUUUCUGGAGGGAUUCUGGAAUAACCAGCAGAAAUUACAGAAGUAAAUCCUGGAGGAAUCCUAAAAGGUUUUCCUGGAGGAAUCUCAGGAAAUAUUUUUUGAGGAGUUUAAACUUUUUUUUUUCAGAAUAAUCUCGGAACAAUUUCUUGGAUGAAAACCCCAGAACGAAUUCCUUGAGAAAUCCCAGAAGAAACUCAUGGAGAAGUCCUGGAAUUAGCUCUUGGAGGAACCUCUAAAACUAAAGCAGUUCUAGGGGGAAGUCAAGCAUGAAUUUCUUGGAGGGAUCCCGAAUGGUUUUUAUGUACGAACCCCUGAUAAAAAAACGAGAGAAAUCUCAGACUAAACUGCUGGAGGAAGCGCGUAAACAAAAUUAGCUCCUAGAUGAAUUUCUGAAGGAAUUCCUGGAGAAAUCACUGAAACAACUUCUAGUUGAAUUGUAGGAAGACUUCCGGAAUAUCUAGGCGAAUCUCAAAAUGAAUCGCAGGAUUCAAUUUUCAUGAAAUCUCAGCUGAAGAUUCUAGUGGAAACCUGGGAUUUUUAAAUAACUUUAUUCAGGAAUUUCUCAAGAAUUUUUUUUUUGCUUUUUCCUUUUUGAGAAUUUCUCCAGGAGUUCCUCCUGAUACCUCUUCAAGAGAUCUUUUUGAGAUUCCUCCAAGAGUUUCUUAUGUAAACCCUCUCGAAACUACUUCUCAGAUACGCGAGAGGAGCUCCUUUUGGGAUUCUACGAUUCCUUCAGGAGUUCGCCCGAAAUUGUACCACGAUUUUCUUCUAAAAUCAUCCAGUACAUCCUUAUGGAUUAUAUUCAUAUUUUUUAAGUUGUCUUUCAUGAUUUCCCUCUGAGAUUCCGUCAUGAGUUCUUUCUGAAAUUUCUUGCGAGAUUCCUCAAGAACAUCCCUCCAGAAUAAAUCUUUGAUUCACCCAGGAAAUCUUCCAGGGAUUCUAACCCUCAUUCUUGUUUUUGGACGUUUUCACUCUCAAACGUAUUUGUUUGUUUGAAUCCGUGUAUGAGCCUAUGCACAAAUCUGGCAUACUGCUCACUCCCACAGAAAAUUUGAAAACAGUUCGCACAGUAAAAGUCAAAUGAGACUUUUACUGUGCGCGGUGUUUUCAAUUUUUUUUUUUGUGGGAGUGAGCAGGACAGGACAAAUUCGAACAGAGGCUCAUUCCAUUUGAUUCGCUGGUGUUAAAGGAAAUGCAAACAAUUUACGUUCAAUAGCGGAUUCGAUCGUAAACAAUAAUGAGGGUUUCUUAUUGAUAAUCUUUCAGGAGCACCCUUCGAUAUUUAUCCUGGAAGUUUUCAUGGAAUUUAUCCCGGAGUUCCUUUUCGGAACUCCUCCUUGGAUUGCUUUGUGUGUUCAUUCUAUGAUUUCUCUAGCAGGUCCUUCUUGGAUUUCUCCCAGCAUUCUUUCUGAUAUUCAUCCAGGCAAAACUUCCGGGACUCCUCCACGAAACUCUUGCAGGAUUCCUCCAGGAACUUCUUCUGGGGUUUCAGCAGAACCUAUUUACGUAAUCACUCCAUGAGUUCUAUCUGAAAAAUUUCCAGUAUUUUGUUUUGAGAUUCAUCCAGAGAUUUUUCCGGAAUUCCUUAAAAAACUUCAAGAGGAAUGCCAGAUUCUCCAGGAGUUCCUUCUGCAAUGUUCGCAGAUUGUUUUGGACUUCCUUCGGAGUUUCGUUCAAGAAUUCUCUCAGAUACUCCUAUGAAAAUCCCCCAGAAGAUUAAAAAGGCAUUCCUUCAGGAAUUUUCUUAUGAUAAUUUUAUGUAAUCACUCCAGAAGUUUGUUAUGAAAAUCCUUGAGCAACAUAUUCGUUAACUUAUCACCAAUAAGUUUGUAAGGAAUUUCUCAAGGAGUUCCUUUUAGGUUUUCUUCAUUGGUCGUGUCAAUAGUACUAUCUAGGAAUUUCUUCUCGGAAUCCCAGAAAAAAAACUUCCAAAGUUAAAUCUUUGAAGUAAUUCCCAAAGGAAAUCCUGUUCUUCCAAUGAAUGCUUAGAAUGAACUCCUGCAAGAAUCUCGGAAAGAAUUACAAGGACUUUCGGAAGGAAAUCCUGGAGGAAUCUCGGAAGAAAUCCUACAAGAAAUCCUCCAAACAAUUUCUGAAAGAUUACCAAUAAGUAUUCCCUGGAGGCAUCACGGAAAACUGCUGGAGGUUUUGCGUGAGAAUCACUGCAGAAUUCCUACUACCGUGGACUAAACCACAAUCUUAUCAGGCUUUGAUUCUACCAUAGCUUUGACUACAAUACCUUUGGAAGUCUUUCUAGAACUGAAAUGUCAUUAAGCAUUCCCAGCGGAUCACCCCAGCAAGCGACUGUUCCACGCGAAUGAAGCACACUAAUCAAAAUCAAUCACACUAUCCAUGAGAGCAGACGAAAAGUCCACACCUUAAUCAACAAGGCCAAGAAACGUCAAAAUCCCAUACAAAAUCAAAGCAAUGCAGUUGCCUAUAGAUUGACAAUUGUUAUUAAAGUUUCCUGCACAAAUCUAUACCAUACUAUUAUUGUAUUGAAAGUCUCUCAUAUCUCACCAACUGUUUAUACCAUACAAUUUUGAAUAAGAAUUUAUUGAAGAAAGAAAUUAAGGCUCAAUUGAGAAUGGCAAAUGUUCCAUUGCUAAAAAGGCACUUUUUUAAAAGUGAUCCACAGGUCGAAGAAAAUAAGAAUGUCCGAUUGUUUAUUUUGUCAAUUAUGAUAAUCGGACACACUGGUUUUGUUCACUUUUUCUGGAGAAAAGUGCUUUUUCUGAUCUGGAUAAUAUGCGAUUCUCAUUAGAGCCUUGAAGCUAUUUUGUAUUUUAGAAACUUACUUUAAUUUUGAAAAGUCAUUUAGGUACGAACGUACAUGUUUUUGCGGAAGAACAUAGUUUUUAGCGUGCAGUGCAUUACAAACUCUGUCGACCUUGACGUGAUGGAACUUGACAUUUUUCGCACUGGGGAUUCAAAAAUGUUCCUAUCUGACAUACACGGUAAGAAAAAGUCACUCAAAGUAUGUGCAAGCUAGGGGUGGGACAAAAGAUUUAAAGUUAAAAAUCAAAUAUUUUCAACCAUGGCUAAUAAAAAUGAAAAAAAUGGGUAAAUAUGUACUCUUGUGUCAUAUUUUGUGGUUUAAAUCACGAAUCUUUGGGACUUAUUUGCCGUGUUCAAGACAGUAUUUUUUUAAGUCUGAAUACAUAUUGCAUUGAUCGAAAAAAAAAAUAUAACAGUAUUUGCGAAAAGAAAACUCAUUAGAAGACAUAUUGGUGACUAAGGGUGUGACAUCAGCACUUUCCCCUCAAAUUUUGUUUAUAUUUUGAAGCUUACUAACGGACAACCUUCUCUAAAUCACAUUGCCAUCUAUGAUCAUUAGAAAAGCUGGGAAAAGUAAUCCACCAAAAAGGUCAGCGAAAUGUAAUGGAGACGCAUGGUAGUUAUUCUGCGAAUAGUUUACCCGUAUUUCUCAAGAAUAGAACAAAAUAGCGUAGGUGAAAGGUAACGUUGAUAAAGAUUCUCUAUCGUAAUUUUCCUAUAAGGAAUAUAUGUCGACAGCGAUAAACCACGUGCCCACGUGUCACUGGAGAAAUUUCCGAUCAACUGUAUCGUACCCAUUUUAGACGCGCAUUGCCAAUCCAACACAAACUGAAAUCCAAAACGUCCAACGCCAUUCAAUAUGUAUUUACGCCACCCACUUGCUUGCACCCGCUUCCGCUGCUGUGCGCGUGGGCUCGACACAAAAGGCGUGUACCACCACCACCGACCGGAUGAGGCCCCUCAUCCAGGUUCCAUAUCUUUGAAACAUCCACCUUACCUAGAGAUAGGUAGGUGCCGCUGACUUCUUCUGGGAAAGAAAUGGUCACCGCGGUCAUAGCAGCCCAUGUUUCUUCUAAUGUUCGACUUUUUUUUUCCCUUCUGCACGAGCUGACUGUUAUGAAACCUGUCAUCCCGCACCACCACCUUCAUCAAGGCCAACUGGGACUCCACGACCACCGCACCGUGCUAUGAUGAUGACGACUCCCCGUGGCCUCCUGCGACGGCGACGUCGACGACGACGACAACGUUAGUCGGGGGGAAAAGCUGAAUGAAAACCUCAUCGCGGCAUCAUCGUAGUGUGCCAGGCAGGGCGUUCGGGAGGGAGUUUUCCUCGAUGGUUUGGUUAUGUAUGUAGGUAGGUAUCGUGAGGUAUGUACAUUGCAUCGCAAGGCCCAGAGCAAUAAUUUACUAUAUUGGCACUUGGGGUGGUUACCGGGGACUGGCAGUAGGCCACAUCGCAGCGUCCCAACGCACAGUGGAUGAAAUUUUCAAAGACCUGGUAAAAACUAUCGAACGUUUGUUUAUGUAUUUUCUCUUCCACAGGUAGACAGUUCUGCAACUGGAUACAAAAUCGAUAUUUUCGAAUUCUGUAAAAGCUAGUUGAUGCUCCUGGUGUUCAAGAUGAAUGUAUGGUAUACAUAAAACAAUAAAGGCAUGUUCAGAAAAUCCCAUCCAGCAUUCCUAAAAACUAAAAGUCUGUGCAAAGUAAUCAUUUGGAUUUUGUUUCUAGAUAAAACAGCGUAGGCGAUGGGAGUAUUCUCCCAGAAUUUCCCUCGAACGACAGGUAUUAGCAAUCAGCUAACUUGGAAAGGGAACAAACGACCGUUGGUGGGAAAGAAAUGGCACGAGCGAGCGAAAAAAAAAACUACGCUCGUCUACUAUAUAAAUGUGUUUCUCAUUUGUGGGUUCGCGUAGGUUGGGUUGAUAAAACUGAAUGAAAUCAUGAUUAUGGGCGAGACACGCCGCCGAGCCGAGUGGGGCCUGCAGGAUGGGAGGCGGGCGAUAGUUGAAUUGGAAAUACACGCGCGCACACAGGCAGCCAGGACCGGAAAGGACGGUCUACUGGGAAAGGGUGGUGGAGACGAGCGCGCAGUAAUCGACUGUAAAUAUAUAAACAAUGCGCAGGCGCGUUUUAUAGCUGCUGCUGCUGCUGCUGGAUUCAGAGCUUCGGAAACGGCGUUUGGUGUCGGGAUGUAGGCAGAUUGGUCGGUAUGACCACGACACGAUAUCUACACUCGCUGUGAACAACCUGUGCUGGCAACGAACGAGCGAACGAGCACAUGUGUGUAGGUAUGCGCCAUGUGCACCAACACUUAUCCACGGUGGUGGAAUCUCAACUCGCAGUGUGCUGGACAAGUUUUAUAAUGAAACUGACAGACAACCGAGCGAUCAUAGGAGGCAGUGUGUAUAGGAAUGGAAAUCUCAUUGAUACAAAUCUGUAUGCGAAAGUGUUGCCAGAUUAUACGCAAGUAUAUGAUAUCAACAAAAAAACAUUGAAAUUAAUCCUCACAGCUCUAAUAAACCCGUGAUAAAACGCUAUAAAGCCCGAAAGGGGUCACCCUUCAGGAGAUUGUUAAAACCAUCUCCUGAAAAGUUUUAUAUUUGUUUACAAGUACUACGUUUUUAAUACAUUUUUUUGCGCUACUCAAGCUCUAUUAAGGUUUAGGGUUCAGGCUGAACGUUGUUAAGAACUUAUAGGUUGGCCAUGGGUAGUCGUCAAAAACGUAAACAAACAGAAAGUUUUAUACUUGUGUUAGAACUUCAACUGCACUUAUUUCCAUGAAUAGUCAUUAAAGCAGACAUCCUAAGUAACAAU